rnacentral:rRNA from 1 species
CCUACGGGAGGCAGCAGUGAGGAAUAUUGGUCAAUGGGCGCAAGCCUGACCCAGCCACGCCGCGUGAAGGAUGAAUGCCCUACGGGUUUUAACCUUCUUUUAUAGAGAACAAAAGUGAGGCCCGUAUGCCUUUUUGGAUUUACUUUAUGAGUAAGGACCGCCCAACUCCUUGCCAGCACCCGCGGUAAGCCGGAGGUUCCGAGGGUUAUGAGGAUUUGUUGGGUUUAAAGUGAGCGUAGAGGGGUUGUUAAGUCAGGUGUACAAGGCUGCGGCUCAACCGUGAAAUUGCAAUUGAUACUGGCAGGCUGGAGUGCGGUUGAGGUAGGAGGAAUUCGUGGUGUAGCGGUGAAAUGCUUAGAUAUCACGAAGAACUCCGAUUGCGAAGGCAGCUUACUAAACUGCGACUGACAUUGUUGCACGAAAGCGUGGGUAUCAAACAGGAUUAGAUACCCGAGUAGUC